CACUGUCAGUGAGGCAGAGCUGGAGUAGGAGACAGGGUACUCCCCCAUCUUACUACCCCCUGGCAAAAUCCCCAACAUUCUCUGCCUUCUUAUCUCUCAAGCUCUAACAGUCCUUGUGCUUGGGGAAAGGGCAGUACUAUCCCUGGACAGAUAUGUAUGUACAGACUACUCGGACCUGUCAAAUUGAGGCUGGUAAGACACAAGGGCCCAGAGUGAGGGGCACUGCUAUGAGCAGUCUCUUGGGGGAGGAAGAGUCAGAGCCAUGAUGUUCACUGUUGCCUUUGGAGGUACUGAUAUGCAACUCCUUAAUGCUAAAAUAGAGCCAAGAGAAACCAAGUUGACCAGGUAGCAAAUCUACGACAAGGAUCCGGAUCUUCUAGCCUCCACCCUUAUGCUACUUCUACAAAGGAGAGAAGCUCUUGUCACGGACCCCUACUGACCUCACCACUAAUGGGUCUACAGUAUAUAGAAGGAGUCUUCAGUGUGGGCCUGAGCCCCCUUCUUCAUGUCACAACCUUGACCAUACCUGUUUAGCCAAGACUUCAGCGGCAGCCUCCUAGGUUGUAGCCACCACCUCCCUUUACCCCCCAAUAUUUUCCCAUUAAAAUCUCUCCCGCCCUGGUCA